rnacentral:lncRNA from 1 species
GAAUUUUAAACCAAAUUGACCCUGUAUUCGGCCUCAGUUUAGGCCUAGACCCUUGUUGUUCAUCUAAAUCAAAACCAAACCCUAGAUUCUUUUUCCUUCUCCAUUUCUUAUCAUACCAAAGAUACAAUCCUAACAAACUAGAGAUUACCAAAAUAGCAACACCAGCACCAGUCAAGCCAAAAACAAGAGCAGAAUGAGAAUUGCUAGCUGAACCAACGCUUGAAUUUAAUUCCAAACUAAAUAUACAUGAAACAACACCAUCACUUUCAGGACCAAACUCGUUAACAAUACCAGCAGCAUAAAGAACAGCAAAGUAAAAACAAUCUUGAGCAUGAGUUUGAUUACCAUCAGCAGACAGCAACAACGACUGUACUUUAUAACCAGCUCUAAGACAAGAAGCACAAGCUGUAAGAUCAGUAAGAUCAGACCGGCAAUCUGAAUCAAGAGAAGUCGAUUUACCAAGUUGAUCAACCCAGUCUUGAGAUGUCUCUAUACGGGCACAGAUGUUAGGUGCUGUAACAAACUGUAAAGGGUUAAAGCAGUGAGAGACAAGAUCGUCGGAAAGAGAAAAGGAGCUGAGCUUUGACUGGUAAUCUUGAAGGCAAGAACUAGAGGUAGCUAAGUUUGGAAGUUGAAAAAAAGAGGUUUCUUUGAGAUGUUGAGAUAGGGCAACGCCAAAGAGGGAGAGUAUGGUUUGGCAACAUGGGGGCUUGCUUGUGCUGUUGGUAUUGUCAUUUUGAGCAAGAGGGUUGAAGUUUCGACAAAGAGUUUGGUUCCACGGGAUUCUUAAGACAUAGUUAAGGUCCAUAGGGCAUAUGUUUGAAGUGGAGGUUUCUGCUGCUGCAGAGGUGAGAGGGAGACAGAAUGAUAUCAAGACAAGAAACCUUAAGAAAUCAAGAUUACUGCUGCCCCCCAUGCCAAGCAUUAGAUUUUGCUAAGAAUAGGGUUGCUUAGGAUUUAUUGUUAUCUUGGCUUAUGAGCUCUGGCUUGAAGUGCAGAGGAGAGGAAGAAGAAGACGAAGAAAUCAUAUGGAAGAAGAGAGGGAAAGUUCUGGUCAAACACUCACUUCAAGGGUUGUGCAGCAGGGAGUUCAGUCGGUAAGCACCAUUCAAAUAAACAAAAAAUAAUUAUCCCAAUUAAUUUUGAUAACAAAAAGUUUGAAAAUCUUUUAAGAAUAAAAAAUUCCGGUAAUUCUUCGGAAUAAAUUUCAAAAUAUUCAGGUAAGGGGGAAAAAAUUUCACGGUAUCCUAAAUUACAUGAACUACCCCAACGCUCACCUUACGUUACUCUGAGUGCUAAACUCAGCUCGCCAAAUUUACUCUAAUAAUAGUUAGUUUUUCAAGUUAAAUAAAAAAAAAGUUGUUUUAGUGAAAUCUAAUCAGACAAGCGUUUUCCAAGUUGUUAAGUAACAUGAUUUGUUUAGUAAUAUAAUAGUGAUUAUUUUUUAAAAUAUUUUUUAUUUUAAAAUAAUAAUUUUUAUAUUAACAUAUAAAAAUGAUGUGAAAUUAUAAAAAAUUAAUUUCUUAAAAAAAUAUGUUUAGACAGUAAAAACAAACCGUAAUUUGCAUGUUGAAUGCUUGGAAGUGGACUAAACGCGCUCCAAAAGGUGGGGUUUGCUUUGACCGUGGAAUAAAAGAUGGGAUGGCGUCACAUGGACGGAAGCUGGAAUGCUUUUACAAAAAGAAGACUGAUUGACGGAGUUAAGGAAGUGUCAGCACAAUGAUAAGUUCACUGACAUGGCAUUUUUGCAACCACUGGAUGAAAUCUUGUGGCUCAUCUUAUCCAUAUCGAUCGACAAUCUCAUCCCUAUUUAUUUAUUUAUUUAUUUAUUUCACUAAUUUUCAGAUUUUCCACCACUUUCUUCCCACUUUUAUUUGCCCUUCUCGAUGCUGUUUAUGUCCAUGUUAUUGGAAAAGUCUUCACAUGAAUUUUUAGGAUUGUGGAAAUUUUAAUUUUUUUAAAAAAUAUAUUUUACUUAAAAAAUAUUAAAUUGAUAAUUUUUUAGUGGUUUAUAUUGAUUUUGAUAUGUUAAUAUUUUAAAAAAAAUCUAAAAUAAAAUAUUAUAUAAAUAAAUUUUUAAAUAAAAAAUAUUUUUUAAAAAAACCUAAACCACAGUAUCAAAUACACAACAAUUAAAUAUCUAUAUAGCAUCUCUAUGGCGGGAAGCUUUGCUAUCUUUUUCCUAUUAGAAUUUUUUUUAUUUUUGAUGCAUUAAUUCAAUACAAUAAAUGUAUUUUUAAAAUUAUUGGAGAAAAAGAGUUUAAUCAAUCAAGAUGAAAACAAAAUUUUAAAAAAUAUAUUUAUUAAAUUGAUAUAAAAUUUUAACCGGAAGAUAAUACAAGUUAUUGAUUUGUUAAGUAAAUUAUGAAUUACCAAAUUAAUUUAGAUUAGUUUUUCUUAUGAAAAAAUUCAUUUAAUUCUUUUGAUAUUAACCCUGCAAAGUCAUCUAAAUUAGAUUUUAAAUCAUAAAAUUACGAAAUUGAACCGAACUUAGCCGCUAUAUUGGAAAGUACUGACCUCAAUGACAGUGACAAAAGAACCUCCCUUAAUGACCUCAAUGACAGUGACAAUCAUGGACCAUUCCUCGUCUUUGGGCUGCACUUGACAUAAGUUGGUCUGCGUUAUUAACUUGGUCUGCAUCUUAAUAUUGUUCUCAUUUGUUCCCAUUCAUUGAAGAGGUGAUAGACCUUAAAACACCAUUAAGUUAUUUUAAGGAAGUGGAGAAGCUACCAAGGCAGAAAUUAAGCGAUGAAGUAGCUAAGACAUUGUUGUCCUCUGCUCUUUACUUGUUCAGCAUUGGAAGCAAUGACUACUUUGUACCUUUCAUUACAAACCCCAGUGCGCUUCAAUCCUACAACAGAAACGAGUACAUCAGGAUGGUUAUCGGCAACCUGACAUCUGGUAUCCAAGUGAUAUGUUAAUAACCUAAACAUUCUUUCUGUUUUUCAAAUCGAUCAUAGUCUAUAUAUGGUUUCGCUUUACUGUUCCAGGAAAUAUAUAAGGAGGGAUGAAAUUUCAAUCUUGGCUGCAUUGGGCCGUUUUCCUUCCUGAGAGCACUUAAACGAACUAGAACAAGAAGUUCAGGCUGCAUGGAUGAAGUUGCAGUUCUGACAAAGCUACACAAUAGAGAACUCUAAGGUCCUUAAAAAGCUUGAGAGACAGCUUAAUGGAUUUAAGUAUUCAAAUUUUGAUUUCUAUACUUCACAUAGUGAAAGAAUAAAUCAUCCCACCGAAUAUGGUAUGUUUUUAUCUACAUGUCAAUUCAGAAUUUCCUGCUUGUGUUUGUCAAAUAACAAGUCUAUCCUAACUGUCAAGUUCAGGGUAUGACUUGUUUCUAAUCCUUCUAUACCUAUUUUAGGUUUUAAUUGUUGCAACUUGAAUGUGAAGAUUUUAAGGAGAUAAAAGUGGCAUGUUGUGGCGCUGGUCCGUAUUGAGGUUCCAAGUGUGGCCUGAACAAGUUCGAAUUACGCGAUAAUGCGAGUGAAUAUCUCUUCUUUGAUGGAAUUCAUCCAGCAGAUGAGGUUCAUAAUCAAUUUGCAAAGUUGUUGUGGAGUGGAAAUCCUGAUGUUGGAGGGCCUUACAAUCUCAAAACACUGUUUGAGGAAUAGCAUAAAUGAUAAAACAAGGUGUACUUUUUUCCAGAUGCUGUAUUAGUUAACCCAGAAGCCAAAGAAUACUUGCUUCUCUUUAUUCUAUCUUGACUUGGAAGAAAUGACAUUAGAUGUAAGACCCAGACUUUUGGCUCAAACCCAAGCCCAAGUCAGCCCAAACCCAACCUAAGUUAACCUAGGUAUAUAAGAAAAAGUUGCAAGAGAAUUAUUGUUCUCUCUUCUAAGUCUUGUGGCCACCGUGACCCUCUCCUCAUCAAACCAAGGAUUUCAGUUUUUGAUCUUGAGUUUUGGGUUUAAGAAAAGUGAAAGUAGCAAGUAAGUGAUUCUCUCUCAUGUUACUUUUAAUUAUGAUUUGUUUAUGGAAGGAUUAAAAAAAAAGAGAAAGAGAGAUUGCGGUUUAUAAGGAUUGGAAGUUUAUAUUGUUAAGAUUGAUUUAUGAUUAUUAAAGGUUUAAUGUUAGAUGAUUAAUUAGUAUGUUGUUGAAAAUAAGGAUUUAUGAGUUGAUUUGUUUAAAUUAAUUUUUAUGGGUUAAGAAAUUCAUUUUUCCCUUGCUGUAAAAUCUGGACAGAAUGGUCUAAAGGUUGAAGAUGACCAAAUUUUAUUUUGGUCCUUGAUUUGUGAAAGUUUCAGUUUAGUCCCUGAACUUUGAAAAAAUUACAAUUUGACCCCUAAAUGUAUUUUGAGAUUUUGGACAGUGUUAUUAUGAGGUCAAGGAUGAUGAAUCUCAGUUUGAUAAUUGAUUUGGAAUAUUUUUAGUUUGGUCCCUCAAUUUUAGGAAUUUACAUUUUAGUCCCUGAACUUUUAAAAAAAUUACAGUUUGGUCCCUGUGUCGUUCUGGACAGAAUUGAGGAUGUUUUAUGGGUGAAAUUUCAGUAUGGUUAUGUAUUUAUAGUUUGGUCCAGUUUUGGUAAAAUUACGUUUUGGUCCCUGUUUUGGAUAAUUGUUGUUUUAGUCCCUAAACCUAGGAGACUAAACCUAGUUUUCUUUUAUGCAUUGAAAUCUUUUAUUUGUGUUGUUUUGAGUUGCUUUUGAGUAUAUUUCAUAUAUUUAUUGUAGGUUCCCCUAACUAUCCUUAAUAGGUUUUUCGGGUCUUUCAUCUGAUAUUCAUUUUAAUCUAUAUUUUUCCGGUUGAGUGGGAUAAUCUUUAAUAUGCAUAUAUUAUAAAUAAAUAUGUAUGUUGAUUAUACAAUGAGUUCCGAGUACUCAUUUAUUCUUGAAUUUGCACUCGCAAUCUGUCAAACUAAAUUCUAUUUGAUAUGAUAUACGUUUCUUUGAUGAUUCUGUGAAUAUCUAUUAUGCCUUGAUAUAGGACUUGUCAGUAACUCCAUGCUAACAGAGAGUAGUUAGCCUAUGUGCACAUAGUAUUCUGUAUACCUAGCUGAUGAGAGAGGCAUCAGCCUGUGGCGACUGAUCAUCCCACAGUGGUCACCUUCGGGUGUCAUCUGGUCACCUUCGGGUGUCAUCUAAUCUCUGACAUGUAUUCCACUACGUUAUGAUAAUAUGUUUAGUAUGUAUAUGUAUAUGUAUAUCAAGAUAAAUUAUCUUGCAAACUAUUAAUAUUAUAAAUAUCUAAAAUGUAUUUUAAAUAUUAUUCCCUCACUGAGUUGGUUGAACUCACCCCUCAUUCUUAAUAUUAUUUCAGGUUCUUAGUUUCUGAUAACAGUUGGACUUUGUUGAGUGUUCCUGCUUCUUCAGUUUUGGUCGGUAUGCCUUGCUUGUUUUGCGAGGCUUUCCUUUUAGUUUUGAUUCGAUGUUUUAGACGCUCCACUAUUACCUUGUUUUAAUUAAGUUUGGAUUUUGACAAUGUAAUGAGUAUUAUGAAUUAUUGUUUUUGUUUUAAUUACUAAUGAGGAGUUUUAAACUAUCUUUUGGUUUCAUCAGUUUUGAAUAAUAUAAUAUUUCUGAAGAUUAUGAAAUGCUGCGUAUUUUUGAAUAAAUUAUUCUUUUGAUAUGUCUGUUUUGAGGCUUAGCGUAGGUGGGGUGUCCUUUCAACACCGCUCCUGCGUUGCUGGUCAUGGACCCGGGAUUCGGGUGGUGACAUUAGAGGUGAGAGCAGAGUUCUGUUCUUGAGUAGAACACUCACAGUAAUCAGAAAGAUCAUAUCUUGGUUUAGUAAUGCACUAGUUUACGAUGUAUCUGAUCAGCUCCUCAAAAUUCUAGAACCCUCUAAAAUCUAAAUCUGCUCCUUCUGAAAAGAUUCUGGGAGUGGCACAAACUUGAUAAUUUUCAACUUUAAAUUCCUGCUCAGAAUGAUAAGGAAAUACUUGACAUCUUAAAGCUUUCUGAAAGAAGAGAUGCUUAAAAUUCUGUUGGAUGUGUGGAAACAAUUGCUGGACCAUAAUGCCAUCAACACGGGUAUUUCUUCACGUACAAAAUUGCACUUAUCGAUUAUGACCUCUUUGAGAGCUCACAAGACCAAUACCCUACCGGCAAGAAACUAAACAAUUGUAGUCCUUUAAGGUUUGGUUCAACUUCACAAGUUAGAAAUUAAUGAAUAGGUUCUUUACAACCUCACGCAGAGAAGCCACCGGCACUAGACUCUCUACGGCCACAUUAUAGUAACAAAGGACGAAAGCCAACGACACCUAGAUUUAUCAGCAAAUAUGAGCAACAAAGUAUGAUCUACCUGUGUGUCUCAUUCCACUGCAGAAAGUGCUGCAGUCAGCUACAGACUGAUUAAAGACAUCAAAGGUAGCUGUAGAAGCUCUCUUGUAAUGAAGCAGCAGAUUGUUAAGCCUUAAUUCUGAAGCAGCAUUACAAAAGUUAAAUCAAACAAUAUGUUCAAGAACUAGUGAUAUAGAAGUCUUAGUUCAAGGACUACUAGCAUUUUGACCCAUAGUUCAAGACAGUUAUGUACCUUUUAGCCUUUAAUUUAUCAGCCUCGUUACAUUGUUGGUGUGGCCUUUCGUUUGUAUUUUUCUCAUGUUCUGUUGGUAUGCUCGACUGGAAAUGAAGCUGAACUUCUUCAUAUUCUUAGGCUUUGGAAAUCAGCCUCAACCUGUCCUCUUUUGAGUUUUGUUUUGGCUUUAGAUUUUGUCAGGCAUUGGUCUACUAAGCAAUGUUGUUGUCAUAAAAUGGUGAUUUGAAGUUUUUUGUAGGCUAGUCUUGAUACGGCUACCUCUUGUAGUCUCAGGCCACUUAGAAGAUCUAUUGUAAUUUUCUCUUUAGUGUCAAUAUUAUCAGUGAUCCAAGAAAAAAGGGACAUGUCAAUAUUAUCAAUUUAUCAAGGUUGGACAUUGGCAGCUUGGACUAAUCAUUGAUAUCCAUGUUAAGGAAAAGCACAGACGACCAAAGCAAUGGGAAGUGAUAGAAAUAUAUUGAAAACUUGAAUAAACAGAAAACAAAAACACCAAUGCUGAGUAGCCAUGGUGGGAUUUAUAUGCAUACAUAUAUUAAUGGAAAGUAGUGAACACAUGUUGAUAUAUAACAUGCAUAUAGGGUUAAGGUCCCUGCAGCUUCACUGAGAAUCCAUUCAUUUCCAGGAUGAAUGAAGCAAAUUUCAUUAAUCAAAGAACCGAGUAGAAGAAAACUGAUCCCAAUAGCAGCAAUUUAUCAAGACUUUUUAGAAUUUUGGAGUAAAUUUGUAUUUUUUCAGCAAUUUAUCUUAGAUACGAGGCAGCUGUUAAAUUCCAAUUCUAUUGCCUUUCAAUCAAUUAUAUACAAACUGAUGCUUUAAGUCAAUGAUUUCAUACACAGUAGCAGAUUAAAAACACACACUGUACGUUCAUGUCCAUCUUCAAAAUCCUACUAAGAAUAGGUUACCGAGCCUCAACAACUUUUGGGUGCUUCAGAACAUCAAAGCAUCACAGUUUUGGUAAUUCCGACUAAAUUCUACCACAACUAAUGAUACCCUAAACUCUCUACCUCUUAACUUGAGAUGCUCAGGAAUUAAUCUCCACAUAUGGAGCACUAUACAGUUCAAUGGCUCAACAUACUUUAAAUUCAUCUUCUUUACCAAUCAUUCUUGAAUAUGCAGGUUACCUCGUGAAAGAGGUCUGCCGCAUCCAUGCAUCCACCUCUCUAGAUCCAUUAGGUAAUGCAGAAGAAAGACAUUUAAGGACAUUAGUGCUUACCUAAGCAUGUCUCCAGGCUGUAAUUUUGGUCCACUCAAUACUGGUGAGAUGCUGAAACUAUUGCCAUCAGCAUGGAACGAAGGGUGCCCAAGAGGCACUGGUCGAUCUGGAAUCUGUGGAACUUCAAUAUCUCCUUCUAACAUUUUCAGCGCAUCCAGAAUGGUUGGCCUUAGAGCCACCAUUAUAUGAGCACACAAAAUCCCAACCAGCACAAACCUUUCCAUUAUCCCCUUCGGAUUUGAAUUUGAAGAAUCACCACCUCUCAACAAAGAAGCAUCCAAAGCCUGUUCCACUUUUCCAGCUUUCACCAAUGACCAGGCCCAGUCCGUGAUCAAUAAAGCCCGAGGUGACCCUGAAGAAGACAAAUCAAGAGCUUUUCUCCCACUCAUUAUCUCCAAAACAACCACCCCAAAGCUAUAAACAUCGCUCUUCUCAGUCAGUUGACCAUAAAGAGCAUAUUCGGGUGCUAAGUACCCAUGAGUUCCAGCCACUCUUGUCGUAAGAUGAGACUGCCCUUCCCUACUUUGCUUUGCCAACCCAAAAUCGGCAACUCUUGCUCUCAUUUCAGCAUCUAACAAUAUAUUUGUCCCCUUGAUAUCUCUAUGAUAUAUUCCAGGCUUGACUCCAUGGUGCAAAUAAGCUAAUCCCUUUGCCACAUCCAAAAUUAUGCUCUUCCUUUGAGGCCAACUUAACAAUUGCUUUUGAAUUUGAUUAUCCGAUGAUGGAAAUAAAUGGUCAUCAAGAUUCCCAUUUGACAUGUAAUCAUAAACAAGAUACCUCUGAUUGCCUCUCUCAUCAGAAUUUACAUCAUCGUCAAUCACACAGCACCCUCUGAGCGGCACCAAAUUCCUGUGCUUCAAGUUGCUAAUAAUCUCAACCUCGUUGCAAAACUCUGCAUCACCUUGAAAAUCAGAUUCUAUAACCUUUUUAAUAGCCACCACUGUCCCAUCAGAUAAAACCCCCUUGUAAACAAAACCAAACCCGCCUCUCCCAAUAAAAUUCUUCUGCGAGAAAUUGUCUGUUGCCUUCUCAAGAUCCCGAAUUUUAAACCAAAUUGACCCUGUAUUCGGCCUCAGUUUAGGCCUAGACCCUUGUUGUUCAUCUAAAUCAAAACCAAACCCUAAAUUCUUUUUCCUUCUCCAUUUCUUAUCAUACCACAGAUACAAUCCUAACAAACUAGACAUUACCAAAAUAGCAACACCAGCACCAGUCAAGCCAAAAACAAGAGCAGAAUGAGAAUUGCUAGCUGAACCAACUCUUGAAUUUAAUUCCAAACCAAAUAUACAUGAAACAACACCAUCACUUUCAGGACCAAACUCGUUAACAACACCA